rnacentral:rRNA from 1 species
AUUGAACGCUGGCGGCAGGUCUAACACAUGCAAGUCGAGCGCGAAAGUUCUUCGGAAUGAGUAAAGCGGCGGACGGGUGAGUAAUACAUGGGAAUCUGCCUGGUAGUGGGGGACAACGUUUCGAAAGGAACGCUAAUACCGCAUACGCCCUACGGGGGAAAGGGGGGGAUCUUCGGACCUCUCGCUAUCAGAUGAGCCCA